rnacentral:snRNA from 1 species
CACUCUGGUGCCUGAUCUGUCUUCUAUCCUAUGAUUCCCUCUUCCCCCUAUUCUACCCCCACCCCUUCAACUUCCUGUUCCCCCAUGACCAACUCCCUUGCUCGGUCGAAGAGGACGACCUUCCCCGAAUAGAGGAGGACCGGUCUUCGGUCAAGGGUAUACGAGUAACUGCGCUCCCCUGCUAGAACCUCCAAACAAGCUCUCAAAGGCAGUAUUGCUUUUUUCAUUCUUUUCUUUUCCUAUUAAGGAAAAUAUGACAUUUCUAUCAUG